CACCGUGUUGUGAUGAUAUCUAAGCAAUGCAUAGUUCAUCUGAUCUACUGAUGAAAACUUAACCUUCAAUAGUCUUUCGCUCCCAUCUGAACACAUCU
rnacentral:snoRNA from 1 species